GGACACCUAAGAAUGUCAUGCUGAGAAGGUACAGAUUCAUCAUUUAGGCCUCUGAAGAAAAAGUCCAUCUUUAACAGGAAGCAAGUUUGCCUGCUUCAGCGGUGAUAAUCAAGAGGCGAAGAGCAAGAAUUGAAAGGAAAGCGUCUAUAGUGAGAAGCGAAUAAUUGGAGGAAGAGGAAGGAAUCAGAGAACUUAUGAAGAAAACGAGGGAGAGAUGAUAUUUGUUUAUUCAAUUCGGGGGAGGUGACAGUAAACGACGCCGUGCUUAGCACACGCCAAUUGAUGAGUGGUGGGUGUAUU
rnacentral:misc_RNA from 1 species